AUGUACCACUCGUACACUCCGGUUCUGAGCGCGCCGCCCGCACCCACCUGACGACCCCUCACUACGUUUUGUUAGCC
rnacentral:sRNA from 2 species